GGCGAUACCAGCCGAAAGGCCCUUGGCAGCGCC
rnacentral:misc_RNA from 1 species